GGUGGGGUACCGAAGUGGUCAACCGGGGCAGACUGUAAAUCUGCUGGCUUUGCCUUCCUUGGUUCAAAUCCAAGCCCCACCACCA
rnacentral:tRNA from 1 species